rnacentral:rRNA from 1 species
GACGAACGCUGGCGGCGUGCUUAACACAUGCAAGUCGAACGGAAAGGCCCCUUUGGGGGUACUCGAGUGGCGAACGGGUGAGUAACACGUGAGUAACCUGCCCUUGACUUCGGGAUAACUUCAGGAAACUGGGGCUAAUACCGGAUAGGAAUCCUUGCUGCAUGGUGGGGGUUGGAAAGCUUCGGCGGUUUUGGAUGGACUCGCGGCUUAUCAGCUUGUUGGUGGGGUAGUGGCUUACCAAGGCUUUGACGGGUAGCCGGCCUGAGAGGGCGACCGGCCACAUUGGGACUUAGAUACGGCCCAGACUCCUACGGGAGGCAGCAGUGGGGAAUAUUGCACAAUGGGCGGAAGCCUGAUGCAGCAACGCCGCGUGCGGGAUGACGGCCUUCGGGUUGUAAACCGCUUUCAGCAGGGGCGAAGCUUGUGGUGACGGUACCUGCAGAAGAAGCACCGGCUAACUACGUG